rnacentral:rRNA from 1 species
GAUAAACGCUGGCGGCGUGCCUAACACAUGCAAGUCGAACGCCCUUUUGCGCGAGUGAGAGGGAGUGGCGGACGGGUGAGUACCACGUGAGUACCUACCUUGAGGUGAGGAAUACCACCGAGAAAUCGGUGACAAGACCGCAUACGCUCGGGCAACCGAGCAAAGUCAUGCAAAUGACGCCACAAGAUGAGCCUGCGCCUGAUUAGCUGGUUGGUGAGGAACAGCUCACCAAGGCGACGAUCAGUAGCUGGUCUGAGAGGAUGAUCAGCCACACUGGGAUUGAGAACGGCCCAGACUCCUACGGGGG